GACGAACGCUGGCGGCGUGCCUAAUACAUGCAAGUAGAACGCUGAAGAGAGGAGCUUGCUCUUCUUGGAUGAGUUGCGAACGGGUGAGUAACGCGUAGGUAACCUGCCUUGUAGCGGGGGAUAACUAUUGGAAACGAUAGCUAAUACCGCAUAACAAUGGAUGACACAUGUCAUUUAUUUGAAAGGGGCAAUUGCUCCACUACAAGAUGGACCUGCGUUGUAUUAGCUAGUAGGUGAGGUAAUGGCUCACCUAGGCGACGAUACAUAGCCGACCUGAGAGGGUGAUCGGCCACACUGGGACUGAGACACGGCCCAGACUCCUACGGGAGGCAGCAGUAGGGAAUCUUCGGCAAUGGGGGCAACCCUGACCGAGCAACGCCGCGUGAGGGAAGAAGGUUUUCGGAUCGUAAAGUUCUGUUGUAAGUCAAGAACGGGUGUGAGAGUGGAAAGUUCACACUGUGACGGUAGCUUAACAGAAAGGGACGGCUAACUACGUG
rnacentral:rRNA from 1 species